rnacentral:tRNA from 1 species
GAAAUUGUACCCGGCUUAUUUUGAAAAUAAACUUUAGGGGGACUCCCCUCAAUUUUG